rnacentral:rRNA from 1 species
GAUGAACGCUGGCGGCAGGCUUAAUACAUGCAAGUCGAGGGACAGCGUCGGUAUUGAUGCCUGCCGGCGACCGGCAAACGGGUGCGGAACACGUACGCCCCUUACCCUUCUCUGGGGAAUAGCCCGGGGAAACCCGGAUUAAUACCCCGUAACACUGUGAAGUGGCAUCACGUUACAGGUAUAACCCUGCAUGGGGUGUUUAAGGAUGGGCGUGCGUCCCAUUAGGUAGGUGGUUGAGGUAACGGCUCACCAAGCCUGCGAUGGGUAACUGGUGUGAGAGCCCGACUGGUCACGCGGGCACUGAGACACGGGCCCGACUCCUACGGGAGGCAACAGUGGGAAUAUUGGUCAAUGGAGGAAACUCUGAACCAGCCAUGCCGCGUGGAGGAUGAAGGCCCUCUGGGUUGUAAACUUCUUUUAUGGGGGACGAAACCCUGGAUUUUUAUCCAGCCUGAUAGUACCCCGCCAAUAACCACCGGCUAACUCCGUGCGAGCACCCGCGGUAGUACUGAGGGUGCUAGCGUUAUCCGGAUUCACUGGGUUUAACGGGUGCGUAGGCGGGUUUGUAAGUCUGCGGUGAAAUCCCGAAGCUUAACUUCGGAACUGCCGUGGAUACUACUGGUCUUGAGUACUCGUGGAGGUGAGCGGAAUAUGUCAUGUAGCGGUGAAAUGCUUAGAUAUGACAUAGAACACCGAUUGUGAAGGCAGCUCACUACAGAGUCAUUGACGCUGAGGCAUGAAAGCGUGGGGAUCAAACAGGAUUAGAUACCCUGGUAGUCCACGCCCUAAACUAUGGAUACUCGACGUGUGCGAUAUGACAGUAUGCGUCUGACCGAACGCAUUAAGUAUCCCACCUGGGAAGUACGACCGCAAGGUUGAAACUCAAAGGAAUUGGCGGGCGUCCGCUCAAGCGGUGGAGCAUGUGGGUUAAUUCGAUGAUAGGCGAGGAACCUUACCUGGGCUAGAAUGAUAGUGGGCCGAGGGUGAAAGCUCAUUUUGUAGCAAUACGCCGCUACUAAGGUGCUGCAUGGCUGUCGUCAGCUCGUGCCGUGAGGUGUUGGGUUAAGUCCCGCAACGAGCGCAACCCCCAUCAGUAGUUGCCAUCAGGUAAGGCUGGGAACUCUACUGAAACUUCCGUCGUAAGGCGUGAGGAAGGAGGGGAUGAUGUCAAGUCAUCAUGGCCUUUAUGCCCAGGGCUACACACGUGCUACAAUGGGGCGUACAAAGGGCUGCCUGUUAGCGAUAAGGAGCCAAUCCCAAAAAACGCCUCUCAGUUCAGAUCGCAGUCUGCAACUCGACUGCUUGAGGCUGGAAAUCGCUAGUAAUCGUAUAUCAGCAAUGAUACGGUGAAUACGUUCCCGGACCUUGCACACAGUCCCCGUCAAGCCAACGAAGCCGGGGGGACCUGAAGUCGCUAACCGCAAGGAGCCGCCUAGGGUAAGACCGGUAACUGGGGC